CCUACGGGUGGCAGCAGUGAGGAAUAUUGGUCAAUGGCCGAGAGGCUGAACCAGCCAAGUCGCGUGAGGGAAGACGGCCCUACGGGUUGUAAACCUCUUUUGUCGGGGAGCAAAGCGAACCACGUGUGGUUCAUUGAGAGUACCCGAAGAAAAAGCAUCGGCUAACUCCGUGCCAGCAGCCGCGGUAAUACGGAGGAUGCGAGCGUUAACCGGAUUUAUUGGGGUUAAAGGGUGCGCAGGCGGAGGUGCAAGUCAGCGGUCAAAUUGCGGGGCUCAACCCCGUACUGCCGUUGAAACUGCAUCCUUUGAGUGCGCGAGAAGUAUGCGGAAUGCGUGGGGUAGCGGUGAAAUGCAUAGAUAUCACGCAGAACUCCGAUUGCGAAGGCAGCAUACCGGUGCACAACUGACGCUCAGGCACGAAAGCGUGGGUAUCGAACAGGAUUAGAUACCCGAGUAGUC
rnacentral:rRNA from 1 species